GUGAAAGGGAUUUUGUUGAUUUUCGCCAGUGUAAAGGCUGCAAUCCACUCCCAGUUAAGCGGGGUCCGUUCAGGCCUCCGUCAGCUCCACAAUGCCUUGGGGGAUGUGAUGGACAUCCAGAACUCCCUGCCCGGUAGAAGUCAGCAAUGACUGGAGGCAAAACAUUAACACCAUUGAGAACCUGAAGUACGUAAAAUAUGCUGGGACGCAACAUCAGCGGAGGCUCCUCAGAAGAGGAAGACAAUACUGCUUGGUGACCUACAGAUUAUUUUUGGAGAUGGUUAUCGGUGCGGAGAAGCUAGGCACAAGACACUGAAUUCCCUGAAAACAUUUCCAGCGCCUACUUCAGUCCAAGUCAAGCACUGGUCUAACUGAAUGUGGAUGUUGUGUUGGCUGAAUGUUCCAGGCACGCUCCAGAAUGUUCUUCUGCUGGUGAACCUUGUCUUGUGUUGGGCAAUGGCAGCUGGUCUGGCAGAAGUUCAUGAGCUCCAUGACCUUGGACUCAUAGACUUUGGCUCUUGCCAGCCCCAUGCAGUCAACCCCAUGCAGUCUUUUCCUCUUCCGAGUCAGAUGAUGUUGAGCUUGAGUUUUUUCCCGGAUGAAAGAUUUCAUCCAAUGGGUCUACAGAAUCUGUACUUCUAAAGCAGAAGCACCAGGAUUAGUCUGUAGGACAUACACUAGUCAGUGAUUAGGCAAUAUUUUACUACUUUGUCCCCAUGAAUACACACUCCGACAAGCUACUAUCUCCACCCUUCACCCUUGUGUCAAUAGAUCAUGCAUACUAACCUUCACACACAGUACCCACUUCCAACAGACACCAGUCACCCACACCAUCCCCUCUUCACGAAGAACUAUGCUUUUCUCCGAUUUACACUUCAAGCUUUGCAUAAACAAUCAAUUAAUGCUGCAAUAUGUAACUUUUUGGGUGACUCACCAAAUUCACAUAAUUUGUUUUAACUAGGCAAGUCAGUUAAGAACAAAAUCAAAUUUGUAAUGAUGGCCAACAGUGGGUUAACUGCCUUGUUCAGGGGCAGAACGACAGAUUUCUAUCUUGUCAGCUUGGGGAUUCGAUCCAGCAACCUAUCAAUUACUGGCCCAAUUCUCUAACCACUAGGCUACCUGCCACCCCGAAAAUGUGAGUUAUAGAUCUGUCAUUCUCAUUGAAAGCAAGUCUAACAAGCGGUAGAUAAACUCUGCAGAAAAAGAAACGUCCUCUCACUGUCAACUGCGUUUAUUUUCAGCAAACUUAACAUGUGUAAAUAUUUGUAAGGACAUAACAAGAUUCAACAACUGAGACGUAAACUGAACAAGUUCCACAGACAUGUGACUAACAGAAAUUGAAUAAUGCAUUUCCACCAGAGCUGUUGCCAGAGAAUUUAAUGUUCAUUUCUCUACCAUAAGUCACCUCCAACGUCGUUUUAGACAAUUUGUCAGUAUGUCCAACUGGCCUCACAACCGCAGACCACGUAUAACCAAGGCAGCCCAGGACUUCCACAUCCGGCUUCUUCACCUGUGGGAUCAUCUGACCAGCCACCCAGACAGCUGAUGAGUCUGAAGAGUAUUUCUGUCUGUAAUAAAGCGCAUUUGUGGGGAAAAAUGUAUUCUGUUUGCCUGGGCAAUGUCCCCCUUUGAAAUCUCAAGAUUAUGGCUUAAUGAAUUUAUUUCAAUUGACUGAUUUCGUUAUAUAAACUGUAACUCGUUGAAAUUGUUGCGUUAGCUUGCAUUAGCUUGCA
rnacentral:lncRNA from 1 species